rnacentral:rRNA from 1 species
UAGGGAAUCUUCGGCAAUGGACGGAAGUCUGACCGAGCAACGCCGCGUGAGUGAAGAAGGUUUUCGGAUCGUAAAGCUCUGUUGUAAGAGAAGAACGAGUGUGAGAGUGGAAAGUUCACACUGUGACGGUAUCUUACCAGAAAGGGACGGCUAACUACGUGCCAGCAGCCGCGGUAAUACGUAGGUCCCGAGCGUUGUCCGGAUUUAUUGGGCGUAAAGCGAGCGCAGGCGGUUAGAUAAGUCUGAAGUUAAAGGCUGUGGCUUAACCAUAGUACGCUUUGGAAACUGUUUAACUUGAGUGCAAGAGGGGAGAGUGGAAUUCCAUGUGCAGCGGUGAAAUGCGUAGAUAUAUGGAGGAACACCGGUGGCGAAAGCGGCUCUCUGGCUUGUAACUGACGCUGAGGCUCGAAAGCGUGGGGAGCAAACAGGAUUAGAUACCCUGGUAGUCCACGCCGUANCGAUGAGUGCUAGGUGUUAGACCCUUUCCGGGGUUUAGUGCCGCAGCUAACGCAUUAAGCACUCCGCCUGGGGAGUACGACCGCAAGGUU